UCGGGAAUUUUGGGCAAUGGGCGAAAGCCUGACCCAGCAACGCCGCGUGAGGGAUGAAGUAUUUCGGUAUGUAAACCUCCAAAGAAUGGGAAGAAUAAAUGACGGUACCAUUUAUAAGCUCCGGCUAACUACGUGCCAGCAGCCGCGGUAAUACGUAGGGAGCAAGCGUUGUUCGGAUUUACUGGGCGUAAAGGGCGCGUAGGCGGCGCGGUAAGUCACUUGUGAAAUCUCUGAGCUUAACUCAGAACGGCCAAGUGAUACUGCUGUGCUAGAGUGCGGAAGAGGCAACCGGAAUUCUUGGUGUAGCGGUGAAAUGCGUAGAUAUCAAGAGGAACACCUGAGGCGAAGGCGGGUUGCUGGGCCGACACUGACGCUGAUGCGCGAAAGCCAGGGGAGCAAACG
rnacentral:rRNA from 1 species